rnacentral:rRNA from 1 species
CGUGGCCUACGGGGGGCAGCAGUAGGGAAUCUUCCACAAUGGACGAAACCCUGACGCAGCAACGCCGCGUGCGGGACGAAGGCCCUCGGGUCGUAAACCGCUUUCAGCAGGGAAGACCACGACGGUACCUGCAGAAGAAGCUCCGGCUAACUACGUGCCAGCAGCCGCGGUAAUACGUAGGGGGCGAGCGUUAUCCGGAUUCAUUGGGCGUAAAGCGCGCGUAGGCGGCCGCCUAAGCGGAACCUCUAACCCCGGGGCUCAACCUCGGGCCGGGUUCCGGACUGGGCGGCUCGAGUGCGG